AUACGUUGUUUCUACUUUUGCGCGAUACGCGACACAGCAAUAAUAUUAUAUGCCGUGCGCGGAUGAAUUUUUAUCUCUUAUUACAAUACAAUUUCUCGAGAUGUAUGUUUUGAAUUUUGACAAUAUGAAAUGUUUCUCGUAUAAUAAUUUACGAUUAACACACUUGACAGAGGGACAUGGAUAGAAGGUUAUAAAAGGUAGCGGGAUCCAAAUUCCAGGGAGGAGAGAAGUCUAAUCUUUAUAAAUAAUCUCUAUAUAAAGAUUGUGGACGAUUAGAGUGUGUCGGCGCGGCGGCGGUAAAAACGAAGAGAAAGACCGUCUCGUCUGAUUUACAAUUUGGUCCGAUUCCGUAAGAGCGGAAACGUGAAUGCGUCAAACGGUCGCGACACGGCUCGCGCCGAUUAAAUUCGCGAGAGGUGCGGAUGUAAGCUUAUAGCGCGCGUCCCAAAUAUCUCAACUGGACAUUGGCGACAUCUAACGACAAGGAAGUCACAAGUUUUGUCAAGAGUUAGUAACUAAAAAUUUCCAUUUGCAGGAUAUUUCGUCUGACGUGGCUUAUUAUCGAUCAGAUGCUUGGAGUUUUCAACGAUGGAGCGAUUUACGAUUAUACCUGCAGUAAACGCAGUGUGUGACAUAUGUGUUGUAUAGUGAAUCAAUAAUAUGCGUAUCGAUCAUUUUGUCAUAGUGGCAUAUUACGGAAACUUAAUAUCGUUACUUCAUCAUUUAUUAAGAGUUGUUAUGGGCUUCAAGAGUCACAGACAGUUAAUAACUAACAAGUAUAUAUGUAUAUAAUCACAUAGCUUACGUACAUUGCGGUUUGAUAAUUCAACAAGCGCAAUAUAAUUUUUUUAACUUUAGCAAAAUACGCACAUUGUCAUAAUAUCACGAUUAAUUCAAUUGUGACGACAUAUGAGUAUACGUUUAAUGAUGUCUUGAUGUCGUCAUCAAUUUUAUCGUUAUAUUAUUAUUG